rnacentral:lncRNA from 1 species
UUUAAAUUGGAAAUAUUGUUCACUAAUCAAGAAUUUGCCCAAUUUAUUCUUAUCUUUCAAGAAAUUAAUAUUUUUUCUUGGCAAUUGUACUUAUGAAUUGAUAUCUAAAUCCUUGAAGGGAAUGAAGAUAAAAUUGCAGAGAAGGAAAUUAUAAACUAUAGGGAAAGCUACAACAAAUCAACGAAAUGGACCUUACAAUAAGAUGUACUCAAGUUCUCCAAUUUUUACAAAAUUAAGCUUAACUUUCAUUUUUUUAACUUUUAUCUUUUUCUCUAAUUGGCAGGUUGAUAAGCUGAAUUAAGGCAUGAAGAAAAUGUUCAUAGAGCUUCAGAGAGGGCUUUCUAUAGACCCUUAGGAACACUACCUUGUCUUCCUCCGUAUCUCCCUCAAAUACUUAAGUAUCGACAUGUUUGGUAUACUAAAGAAGGUAAUCGAGUAUUGUGUACCGAGAAUUUCCUAUUAGUUGAAUUCCACAUUCAUCUAGAUAUGUCUCUCUGCCUUUACUACUACUAUAUUGGAUUUGAUUAGUUUUCGUUUGGCAUAGGCAAAAGGACUAAUGGCGUAAUUGGGAAUUAUUGUUAAGUAAAUUGGAAAUUGGAGACUAAUGACAGGUUCACCAUACUUUAUUGUAAUCAAUCUUAUGAACCUGUGAUUGUGUGGGUGUAAUGUUGUGGACUCUAGAACUUCUAGCUGAAUUGGCUAUUUUGGAAAAUGAGGUUGUUUGACUCAAGGAACAGGUUGUGUAUUUUAGACAAGGUCUCUCUCAGGGAGAUGUUUACAUAGCGUCCCGAACAAAUUCAGAGGAUUCGAUCGGUUCAUUCAAUGAUUCGUUGAUUACUACUACAAGAGCUCAAGAUCUUUAUACCAAAUUUAAGUUAAUUCAGGUUCAUUCUUAUUACCAAC